rnacentral:rRNA from 2 species
CGACGAACUCUGGUAUUGAUUGGUGCUUGCAUCAUGAUUUACAUUUGAGUGAGUGGCGAACUGGUGAGUAACACGUGGGAAACCUGCCCAGAAGCGGGGGAUAACACCUGGAAACAGAUGCUAAUACCGCAUAACAACUUGGACCGCAUGGUCCGAGCUUGAAAGAUGGCUUCGGCUAUCACUUUUGGAUGGUCCCGCGGCGUAUUAGCUAGAUGGUGGGGUAACGGCUCACCAUGGCAAUGAUACGUAGCCGACCUGAGAGGGUAAUCGGCCACAUUGGGACUGAGACACGGCCCAAACUCCUACGGGAGGCAGCAGUAGGGAAUCUUCCACAAUGGACGAAAGUCUGAUGGAGCAACGCCGCGUGAGUGAAGAAGGGUUUCGGCUCGUAAAACUCUGUUGUUAAAGAAGAACAUAUCUGAGAGUAACUGUUCAGGUAUUGACGGUAUUUAACCAGAAAGCCACGGCUAACUACGUGCCAGCAGCCGCGGUAAUACGUAGGUGGCAAGCGUUGUCCGGAUUUAUUGGGCGUAAAGCGAGCGCAGGCGGUUUUUUAAGUCUGAUGUGAAAGCCUUCGGCUCAACCGAAGAAGUGCAUCGGAAACUGGGAAACUUGAGUGCAGAAGAGGACAGUGGAACUCCAUGUGUAGCGGUGAAAUGCGUAGAUAUAUGGAAGAACACCAGUGGCGAAGGCGGCUGUCUGGUCUGUAACUGACGCUGAGGCUCGAAAGUAUGGGUAGCAAACAGGAUUAGAUACCCUGGUAGUCCAUACCGUAAACGAUGAAUGCUAAGUGUUGGAGGGUUUCCGCCCUUCAGUGCUGCAGCUAACGCAUUAAGCAUUCCGCCUGGGGAGUACGGCCGCAAGGCUGAAACUCAAAGGAAUUGACGGGGGCCCGCACAAGCGGUGGAGCAUGUGGUUUAAUUCGAAGCUACGCGAAGAACCUUACCAGGUCUUGACAUACUAUGCAAAUCUAAGAGAUUAGACGUUCCCUUCGGGGGACAUGGAUACAGGUGGUGCAUGGUUGUCGUCAGCUCGUGUCGUGAGAUGUUGGGUUAAGUCCCGCAACGAGCGCAACCCUUAUUAUCAGUUGCCAGCAUUAAGUUGGGCACUCUGGUGAGACUGCCGGUGACAAACCGGAGGAAGGUGGGGAUGACGUCAAAUCAUCAUGCCCCUUAUGACCUGGGCUACACACGUGCUACAAUGGAUGGUACAACGAGUUGCGAACUCGCGAGAGUAAGCUAAUCUCUUAAAGCCAUUCUCAGUUCGGAUUGUAGGCUGCAACUCGCCUACAUGAAGUCGGAAUCGCUAGUAAUCGCGGAUCAGCAUGCCGCGGUGAAUACGUUCCCGGGCCUUGUACACACCG